UCGAUCCCACUUUGAGCUUUCAUCUGGCCACACAGCUCAGCAUCAUCAGGGAAGUUAUUUCUGAGAAAUCCUCCCCCUCUCUGUGUUAUUUAUGAGCCGUGUGAACUGCAGAAUGUCUGGAACAGACCCCCGUGGAUUGUCACUAGUCACCACUCAUCCUUACAGAGCCAAAUCUAUUGAUCUCUCUUCAUGGGAGCAACUGACUCAUACCCUCACUCCCCGACGAGUGAAACACAAAAAUAGAAGCUGUAACCUUUUCGAAGAGUGGGAGCAAGAGGAGGAACAUAAACCCCAUUCUCCCCAUCACUGACCAGACCAACAAUCACUCUUCAAGUCUACAGUUUGCGAGUUUUUCUUUCAGAUGUGAAAGUACCCAACACACAUAAGGAUUGGGAAUGAAAAACGUGGGGCUUUCUUUGAAGAUAUGGCUCGUUACAGACAACAUUCAAAGGGAGUUACACGCAGUACAUCUGACCUUGAGUACUGCUUUGAGAAUGGCUGGCCAGUACAGCAUUGGACUAAUACAGC